rnacentral:rRNA from 1 species
GAUGAACGCUGGCGGCGUGCCUAACACAUGCAAGUCGAGCGAACGGACGAGAAGCUUGCUUCUCUGAUGUUAGCGGCGGACGGGUGAGUAACACGUGGAUAACCUACCUAUAAGACUGGGAUAACUUCGGGAAACCGGAGCUAAUACCGGAUAAUAUUUUGAACCGCAUGGUUCAAAAGUGAAAGACGGUCUUGCUGUCACUUAUAGAUGGAUCCGCGCUGCAUUAGCUAGUUGGUAAGGUAACGGCUUACCAACGCAACGAUGCAUAGCCGACCUGAGAGGGUGAUCGGCCACACUGGAACGGAGACACGGUCCAGACUCCUACGGGAGGCAGCAGUAGGGAAUCGUCCGCAAUGGGCGAAAGCCUGACGGAGCAACGCCGCGUGAGUGAUGAAGGUCUUCGGAUCGUAAAACUCUGUUAUUAGGGAAGAACAUAUGUGUAAGUAACUGUGCACAUCUUGACGGUACCUAAUCAGAAAGCCACGGCUAACUACGUG